CAGGAUUCCCCUAGUAACUGCGAGUGAAGCGGGAAAAGCUCAAAUUUAAAAUCUGGCGGUCUCUGGCCGUCCGAGUUGUAAUCUAGAGAAGUAAUGCCCGUGCUGGACCGUGUAUAAGUCUCCUGGGAUGGGGCGUCAUAGAGGGUGAGAAUCCCGUCUUUGACACGGACUACCAGUACAUUGUGGUAUGCUCUCAAAGAGUCGAGUUGUUUGGGAAUGCAGCUCAAAAUGGGUGGUAAAUUCCAUCUAAAGCUAAAUAUUGGCGAGAGACCGAUAGCGAACAAGUACCGUGAGGGAAAGAUGAAAAGAACUUUGGAAAGAGAGUUAAACAGUACGUGAAAUUGCUGAAAGGGAAACGCUUGAAGUCAGUCGCGUUAGCCGGGGAUCAGCCUUGCUUUUGCAUGGUGUACUUUCUGGUUGACGGGUCAGCAUCAAUUUUGACCGCUGGAAAAAGACCUGGGGAAUGUGGCAGCUUCGGCUGUGUUAUAGCCCCUAGUCGCAUACAGUGGUUGGGAUUGAGGAACUCAGCACGCCGCAAGGCCGGGUUUCGACCACGUUCGUGCUUAGGAUGCUGGCAUAAUGGCUUUAAGCGACCCGUCUUGAAACACGGACCAAGGAGUCUAACAUGCCUGCGAGUAUUUGGGUGGAAAACCCAAGUGCGUAAUGAAAGUGAAAGUUGAGAUCCCUGUCGUGGGGAGCAUCGACGCCCGGACCAGAACUUUUGGGACGGAUCCGCGGUGGAGCAUGUAUGUUGGGACCCGAAAGAUGGUGAACUAUGCCUGAAUAGGGUGAAGCCAGAGGAAACUCUGGUGGAGGCUCGUAGCGAUUCUGACGUGCAAAUCGAUCGUCAAAUUUGGGUAUAGGGGCGAAAGACUAAUCGACCCAUCUAGUAGCUGGGUCCUGC
rnacentral:rRNA from 1 species